GAUGAAGAACGUAGCGAAAUGCGAUAAGUAGUGUGAAUUGCAGAAUUCAGUGAAUCAUCGAAUCUUUGAACGCACAUUGCGCCCUCUGGUAUUCUGGAGGGCAUGCCUGUUCGAGCGUCAUUAAAACUACUCAAGCUAAGGGUUUACCUUCUGCUUGGUCUUGGGUUUGAGGAUUCAAAAUCCUCUCUCCGAAAUCCAGUGGCGAAUUGUUUGAGCUGUAGACGUAGUAAAUCAUUCUACCCGUUGCAAGCGAGAAUAAUAUUCAGCCAUAACCCCCAUACUUUUCUAGUUUGACCUCGGAUCAGGUAGGGAUACCCGCUGAACUUAAGCAUAUCAAUAAGCGGAGGA
rnacentral:misc_RNA from 1 species